CGUAGCUGUUAGUUAACUUUUCUUGCGUAGUGACGUAUUUUUGACGCUGAGGAAGCUCCCGGAAUAUGGAUGGAAAGCAAAUCUCAACACAGGUCCGAAAUUUGAUUGUGCGUGACUUCCAGCGUAGGAAGUCUCAACGAAACUUUGCUGAGAAAUAUGGGUUUACAGGAAGGGACACUAUCUUAAAAAAAUUACUACCGAAUGGCAGCAGAUGAAGCCAGCGAAUACAAGGGAAGGUGAUCAACGAGAGAAUAUGAGACGAAUAGAUAAGUUCAGUUAGAGCAAUUGAUCAUUGGAAUUGGAAUUUCGACGCAUAGACAUAUUUUGGACUAUUAUUGUUUUCCUGUUUUACAUGCUUAAAUAUUUAUUUUGUCUUAUUUUUUAGUGUUUUUUCAUAGUUUAUUUCCCCCUUCUUCAAGCAAAAUAAGGUAUGAGAGUUUGUUCCACAAAUCGUUACUCUGUAGUAUAUAGCUAAUUCUGUUCUUACCGCAAGUGGAUUGUUGAGUUUUAUUUUUUUUUUGUUCGCCUCUAUUUCAAGCCUCUCGUCAUUCACAAUGACAAUCAUAGCAUUUCCGUUCUCCCAAAACGAAGCAAGCACUAACACUAAUCCGGGCGUAGAAACAAAAGCGAAAGGAAAUGGGUAAAUUCAAAACACGGGGCUACGUUCCUGAGAUCAUGUCUUGUUUUGUUAUUGUUAUCGAAUUGUUUGUUUAUCGUAUCUCCCCUCUUGGUUUCCUUUGUUGCCAAAAAAAAAAGGGUCUACUAUUCGGUUUAAAUAAAAAAAAGUUACGAAAUAAA